CGUAGGUGGCAAGCGUUAUCCGGAAUUACUGGGCGUAAAGCGCACGCAGGCGGCUUUUCAAGUUCGACGUGAAAGCUCCCGGCUUAACUGGGAGAGGUCGUUGAAGACUGAGAGGCUUGAGGCAAGGAGAGGGGUGUAGAAUUCCCGGUGUAGUGGUGGAAUGCGUAGAUAUCGGGGGGAAUACCAGUGGCGAAAGCGGCACCCUAGCCUUAGCCUGACGCUCAGGUGCGAAAGCGUGGGGAGCGAACGGGAUUAGAUACCCCGGUAGUCCACGCUGUAAACGAUGAACACUAGGUGUAGGUGAUGUGAAAGUUAUCUGUGCCGAAGCCAACGCGUUAAGUGUUCCGCCUGGGGAGUACGGCCGCAAGGCUA
rnacentral:rRNA from 1 species